rnacentral:rRNA from 1 species
UGUUCCACAUGAUCGCAUGUGAUUGUGGGAAAGGCUUUUUGCGGCAUGGAAUGGGGUCCCGUCCUAUCACCUUGUUGGUGGGGUGAUGGCCUACCAAGGCUUUAACGGGUACCCGGCCUAAAAGGGCAACCGGCCACUUUGGAACUAAAAUACGGCCCAAACUCCUACGGAAGGCACCAUUGGGGAAUAUUGCACAAGGGGCCCAACCCUGAUGCACCACCCCCCCUUGCGGAAUGAAGGCCUUCGGGUCUUAAACCGCUUUUGUUCACGACCAAGGCAUCCUUUCGGCGGUGUUAAUUGAAUUGUUCAAAUAACCGCCGGUAAAUUACUUGCCACCACCCCCGGUAUUACGUAGGGUGCAACCUUUAUCCGAAUUUAUUGGCCGUAAAGGGCUCUUAGGCGGUUCUUCCCGUCUGGUGUGAAAUCCCUUCGCUUAACGGUGAGUCUGCGCCGGGUACGGCGCGGGCUGGAGUGCGGUAGGGGAGACUGGAAUUCCCGGUGUAACGGUGGAAUGUGUAGAUAUCGGGAAGAACACCAAUGGCGAAGGCAGGUCUCUGGGCCGUCACUGACGCUGAGGAGCGAAAGCGUGGGGAGCGAACAGGAUUAGAUACCCUGGUAGUCCACGCCGUAAACGGUGGAUGCUGGAUGUGGGGUCCUUUCUACGGGUCCCGUGUCGGAGCCAACGCGUUAAGCAUCCCGCCUGGGGAGUACGGCCGCAAGGCUAAAACUCAAAGAAAUUGACGGGGGCCCGCACAAGCGGCGGAGCAUGCGGAUUAAUUCGAUGCAACGCGAAGAACCUUACCUGGGCUUGACAUGUGCCGGAUGCCCGUGGAAACGCGGUUUCCCUUCGGGGCCGGUUCACAGGUGGUGCAUGGUCGUCGUCAGCUCGUGUCGUGAGAUGUUGGGUUAAGUCCCGCAACGAGCGCAACCCUCGCCGCAUGUUGCCAGCGGGUGAUGCUGGGAACUCAUGUGGGACCGCCGGGGUUAACUCGGAGGAAGGUGGGGAUGACGUCAGAUCAUCAUGCCCCUUACGUCCAGGGCUUCACGCAUGCUACAAUGGCCGGUACAACGCGAUGCGACACGGUGAGGUGGGGCGGAUCGCUGAAAACCGGUCUCAGUUCGGAUCGCAGUCUGCAACUCGACUGCGUGAAGGCGGAGUCGCUAGUAAUCGCAGAUCAGCAACGC